GGGGUUAUAACCCCUGGUGCUGAGACGGUGUUUGUGGAGCCAUGUGCAUUGUGACAGCAUGAUAUCGGCCAUUGAUCUGUCUGAAUUAUUGGAAACCAUUAAAUAGAAUGCUUGGAUACAGAUGUAUAUUGGAAAGAUCACCUGGACAUAGGAGAGCCGAUCAUAUUAAGAAGUAACAAGUUGAUAAAUGUGGAGGC